CAAUGCCGGAUCCUUCACCCACUGGCCGAGGCCAUCGAAGCCACAUCCUCAUGGAUACUAGUUGGGAUCGUUACCGCUGAGCCACAACGGGAACUCCCUCACCUGGAUUUUGAUAGGCUACAAGGGAGGGAGGGUAAACACCUCCUCAUGGCCGAAGCGGGACCUAGAGACACCUGGUGCCCCUGCCCUGGAGUGAUUCUACCCAUUUCUCCAUCGUUCCUCCAGAAAGGGACACAGAGGCACAGAUGGGGAAGAGGAAUCCACAGGCCUAGGCCUGAGAUUAUAAACAGAACACAAGGCCCAUGUUGCAGGCAAAUCCCUCGGGGUGAGGGAUUCCUGGAUUUGCCCAGCUGGAGCCACACCAGACAGAAAAGCCUUCUGCUCUGAGCUGUUCCACUGUGCACCCUCCCCUCUGGGAUCCAGCCCUGACCUGUCCCACUCCCUGGAACAAGGAGGAGCACGUCUGCCUCCAUCUGCCUCCACAGUUGCCUGGCAUGUGUGAGCUUCUGGAAUGGAAAGUGUUCUUCUGAGAGCCUCCCCCAUGGCCCCUGAAGGCGAUGAGCAAGUUGGCCAUUUUCUUCUAGUCAGCCUCCCCUGAAGACCCUUCUUGCUUCAUCUUCUCGGCGGUUUGCAUGGAUAAGAUGGAUUCUUCUUCCAGAGGGUGGCCAAAUAGCUCUAAGUGGUGGAGAAAACCUAUUUACAGAACUCCAGCUAAUGUAGAAGGAAUGUGGAAUUAGAAAAAUCACCAUUUUGCAAGCCCUAAUGAAAUGACUGAGAAAAGCAAGAAUCAUAAAUGGAUAAAACCAAGCAUGGUGGUUGAUGGAGGACUUUACAAUGGAGGAAUCAAGCUGUCCCCACUGAAGAAUUCUAGCAUCACUAAAAAGGGACAACCACAUAUGAUGUAUCUUCUGAUAUAAUGCAGCCUGAAGCUCUCGGCACCACCUGGGAAGGACACUUAAACAAAAAAACUGAGCAUGCUUCUAACCAAAGCUCUAGAGCUCUCUCCUUAAUGCCCUCCAUUAAAUAGGAAAUGUGGGGGGACAGAGGGACAAAUUAAAUGACCCAACAAAGAAGUAAGGAAACAUAUCCAGAACUUGGGGCAUUCUAGAGGAAAUCUGAGCCAAUUUCUUCAACUAGUCAAUGGCUGAGGGGAAAAGUGAGAAGUGACAUAAGAAGACAGCUACGACAUGGGACAGGUGGGGCUUGUCUGGUUCCUGAUUGGGACCACCCAAUUGGAAAAAAAGACAUUUUUAGACGGUUGCUAACAUUUAAUUUUGAACUGGGUACUUGCGAUGCCAACGAAUCAGUGUCGAUUUUGUUAAAUGUAAAAACGGCUUUGAGAUGAUGCAAGAAAGGGUCCUUAUUUCCGAGAACUGCGUACUGAAGCAUGGAGUGAAAUGAUAUAGUUAAUUUUAAUACAUUAUUUAAUAAAUAAAAAAUUAUUGGAGUUUC